GGAAGAAGCAGAUGGGGCAGCGCAGCUUGUCCCAGGGCUUUGGUGCCUCUCUGACCUGCCUGUCGGGGCAUCCCUGGGGACUGAGGCUGUGGUGGCUGGUCGAGUUGUGUGCUUAUUUAUUGGGCGCUGGGUUGUGAGAGGAGCUAUCUGGCCUUGGGGGCAUCCCGGCCUGUCUUUCAGGACACAUCUUGGUCAAGGCUAUGAUGUUCAACUGAUAGCGCCCUCAGCCCUUGGACACAAGGAGCAGCAAGUGCUGCCUGUCCAGCUGGACUCCCUCCCCAGGCCUGGCUGGGACCAGAGGCCUCAGAAGCCAUCCAGUCCUGUGCUGCUUGGCCAGGCUACGGGUUGCUGACCAGAGUACUUGAGCUGCAGGAUAAACGUGGUGCAUCUUUUAGGGGCAGCUGGGUUUUUUAAGACUUGGGGUAGGGGAGGUUUAAUACUGAAAUAAACAUGGAUAUAUUUUAA